AACCCAUGAUGAGGGCACCUUCUCAACAAGUCUUUGUGUCUCUCCCAUACGUCAUAAAAGGUUUCUAAAUCUAUCUACACAAAAGAAGAGAUAUCAUUCCUCAGUUU
rfam:Gossypium arboreum cultivar AKA8401 contig_25812_3, whole genome shotgun sequence.